rnacentral:rRNA from 1 species
CCUACGGGAGGCUGCGGUGGGGAAUAUUGGGGAAUGGGCGCAAGCCUGACCCAGCAACGCCGCGUGAAGGAAGAAGGCCCUCGGGUGGUAAACUUCUUGUAGCAGGGACGAAACAAAUGACGGUACCUGAUGAAUAAGCCACGGCUAACUACGGGCCAGCAGCCGCGGUAAUACGUAGGUGGCAAGCUUUAUCCGGAUUUACUGGGUGUAAAGGGCGUGUAGGCGGGGCUGCAAGUCAGAUGUGAAAUCGCAUGGCUCAACCAUGGAACUGCAUUUGAAACGGUAGAUCUUGAGUGCUGGAGAGGCAGGCGGAAUUCCGUGUGUAGCGGUGAACUGCGUAGCUAUACGGAGGAACACCAGUGGCGAAGGCGGCCUGCUGGACAUUAACUGCCGCUGAGGCGCGAAAGCGUGGGGAGCAAACAGGAUUAGAUACCCGAGUAGUC